UACGUAGGCAGCAAGCGUUGUUCGGAAUUACUGGGCGUAAAGAGUGUGUAGGCGGUGCCCUAAGUUUGGUGUGAAAUCUCCCGGCUCAACUGGGAGGGUGCAUCGAAAACUGGGGUGCUCGAGGGUGGGAGAGGUAAGCGGAAUUCCUGGUGUAGCGGUGGAAUGCGUAGAGAUCCGGAAGAACACCGGUGGCGAAGGCGGCCCGCUGGGCAGGAUGCUGACGCUGAGGCGCGACAGCGUGGGGAGCAAACAGG
rnacentral:rRNA from 1 species